rnacentral:rRNA from 1 species
CAACGAGGUAAAGAAGAAAUCGAGAAGAAAAUGAUAGCCUAAGAAAGGGCGCGGCGAGCUGCGAAAAUGUCCGGGGAUCGGCAAGCGCGAAAUGAUCCGGACGCACCCGAAUGGGGCAACCCCCCGGGCUGGAGGCCCGGGACCAGGAGCGAUCCUGGGGCGAACCCGGGGAACUGAAACAUCUCAGUACCCGGAGGAAGAGAAAGAAAACAUCGAUUCCCCCAGUAGCGGCGAGCGAAGGGGGAAGAGCCUAAACCGGUGCGCUUUCGGGCGCGCCGGGGUCGUAGGACCGGCGGCAUGGGCCGCGCGAGCGAACCGGAAGGCGUUUGGAAAACGCCGGCGCAGAGGGUGACACCCCCGUACGGGCGAGCGAGCGCGGAACUAGCCGGCACCUGAGUAGGGCGGGGCACGAGGAAUCCUGCCUGAACCCGCGGGGACCAUCCCGCAAGGCUAAAGACUGCCGAAGACCGAUAGCGAACCAGUACCGUGAGGGAAAGGUGGGAAGGACCCCGAACAGGGGAGUGAAAAAGAACCUGAAACCGCGCGCCCACGAGCGGUCGGAGCCAUCGCGAGAUGGUGACGGCGUGCCUUUUGGAUAAUGAGCCUACGAGUUGCGUCGCCGGCGCGAGGCUAAGCCCCUCAGGGGCGGAGCCGCCUAGUGAUCUACCCUUGCCCAGGGUGAAGGCGCCGUAGCAGGCGCUGGAGGCCCGAACCAGUUUCCGUUGAAAAGGGCUUGGAUGAGGUGAGGGUAGGAGUGAAAGGCCAAUCAAACUGGGAGAUAGCUCGUACUCCCCGAAAUGUCUUUAGGGACAGCCCCGUACGCAGAUGCGCAAGGUAGAGCUACCGAUUGGAAGCGAGGGCUUCGCCGCCUGUCAAUUCCAGACGAACUCCGAAUGGGCGCAUCCCAAGGUGCGGGAGUGAGUCGGCGGGUGCUAAUAUCCGUCGGCGAGAGGGUAAGAGCCCAGACCUCCGGCCAAGGCCCCGAAGAGCGGUCUAAGUUGAGACGGAACGAGGUGGCGCCGCAUGGACAGCCAGGAUGUUAGCUUGGAAGCAGCUAUUCAUUCAAAGAGUGCGUAACAGCUCACUGGUCGAGCGGAGCCGCGUGGAUGAUGAGCGGGCAUCAAGACCGCCGCCGAAGCCGAGGGCGCGAGGGAGGAGCGGUAUGAAAAGAAAAUGUAGGCAUGAGUAACGACAAUGAGCAUGGAAAUGCUCACACCGAAAGCCCAAGGUUUCCUGAACCACGUUAAACGGAUCAGGGUGAGCCGGGAGCUAAGCCGUACCCGAGAGGGGCAGGCGAUGCGCAUGCGUUUAAUAUUACGCAGCCCGCACGGCGGGCGCAGGAGAGACCGAGAAGUGACACUGCCGCGGGGAGACGGAAUUCCCCGUUGAAGGGAGGUAGGCCGCGAGGCCGAGGCCCGACAGAACGGCGAGCCUCCGGGCGAGCCGACAGAGCAGGCAAUCAAGCUCGCGAGAAAAUCCCCUGCGCGUCAAGAGCCGCGCGGCCCGUACCGUAAACCGACACAGGUGGGCGGGGAGAGAAUCCUCAGGUGCUCGAGUGAAUCACGGCCAAGGAACUAGGCAAACUGACCCCGUAACUUCGGGAGAAGGGGUCCCGCCGCGAGGCGGGCGCAGCGAAAUGGCCCAGGCGACUGUUUACCAAAAACACAUGGCUAUGCGAAAUCGUUAAGAUGACGAAUAUGGCCUGACACCUGCCCGGUGCCGGAAGGUUAAGGAAUGAAUCCGACGGCCUGAAUUGAAGCCCCGGUAAACGGCGGCCGUAACUAUAACGGUCCUAAGGUAGCGAAAUUCCUUGUCGGGUAAGUUCCGACCUGCACGAACGGUGUAACGAUCUGGGCGCUGUCUCAGCCGUGAGCUCGGUGAAAUUGUAGUGGCGGUGAUGAUGCCGCCUACCCGCAACGGGACGAAAAGACCCCGUGAACCUUUACUACAGCUUAGCGCUGGGUGCGGGCGGACGAUGUGUAGGAUAGGUGGGAGGCAGCGAAGCUGCGGCGCCAGCCGCGGCGGAGCCGAAAGCUGAAAUACCACCCUUCGUCCGUCUGGAUCCUAACCCCGAGAAGGGGACACCGCUUGGCGGGUAGUUUGACUGGGGUGGUCGCCUCCAAAAGAGUAACGGAGGCUUCCCAAGGUCCGCUCAGGGCGAAUGGCAACCGCCCGGCGAGUGCAUUGGCAAAAGCGGGCUUGACUGGGAGACAUACAAGUCGAUCAGGUACGAAAGUAGGGCAAAGUGAUCCGGCGGUGCCUCAUGGGAGGGCCGUCGCUCAUAGGAUAAAAGGUACUCCGGGGAUAACAGGCUGAUCGCUCCCAAGAGCUCAAAUCGACGGAGCGGUUUGGCACCUCGAUGUCGGCUCGUCAC